GCAUUUCUGCCCAUUUUCAACUCAUUUGGGUUGUAUAUUAUUUCACACAGAUCUUUGAACUUAGGACACUGAAGGCCUGUAUGUCUUCAGGGUUCGUAGCUCCUGUAGUGCUAAUCUGCCCCAGGGUGGUUAAUGUUUAACCCCUAAACCACUGGCUGAAUGUCCAUAAAUCUGAAAGAAUAACAAGCACAUGCCAAUAAAUAGCUCGGGUUUAUUUAGUGACAGGUGCUUCGGAGGCCAUCACCUCUGCUACCCUUUUAGCAUGCUCCUCAGUCACCUUCUCCUCCUUUCCAUAAAGAGAAAAGGGACCACAAAGCAGGAGAAUUCAACCUGAGGGCAGUUCUUGAGGGGCCAGUUCAUGAAUGACUUUCUGAAGGGCCUCUUGUGCCCUGCACAGAAUUUCUGAUCCAAAUCUCUGAUUCCUAGGCCUGUAAUUGACUCACCAGCCAUAGUGGAAAGUUUGAAGCUGCCAGGAGAGAGGAGGGGUUGCAUCAUGUGGCAACAAAAGAAUGAAUCCCGCCCGGGGGAAGCAGAGCCAAGCAAUGGAUCCCUGUUGUUUGAGUCCUGGAUCAAAUUGUGCCUGGAUCCCCAGUAAGCCAAUAAAUUUUCUUUAUUGCUUAA